rnacentral:rRNA from 1 species
CCUACGGGGAGCUGCAGUGGGGGAUAUUGCACAAUGGGGGAAACCCUGAUGCAGCGACGCCGCGUGGGUGAAGAAGUAUUUCGGUAUGUAAAGCCCUAUCAGCAGGGAAGAAAGAAGACGGUACCUGACUAAGAAGCCCCGGCUAACUACGUGCCAGCAGCCGCGGUAAUACGUAGGGGGCGAGCGUUAUCCGGAUUCACUGGGUGUAAAGGGAGCGUAGACGGCCGUGCAAGCCAGGAGUGAAAGCCCGGGGCCCAACCCCGGGACUGCUCUUGGAACUGUGCGGCUGGAGUGCGGGAGGGGCAGGCGGAAUGCCUGGUGUAGCGGUGAAAUGCGUAGAUAUCAGGAGGAACACCGGCGGCGAAGGCGGCCUGCUGGACCGCGACUGACGUUGAGGCUCGAAAGCGUGGGGAGCGAACAGGAUUAGAUACCCUUGUAGUC